rnacentral:rRNA from 1 species
UACGAAGGGGGCUAGCGUUGCUCGGAAUCACUGGGCGUAAAGCGCACGUAGGCGGAUUGCUAAGUCAGGGGUGAAAUCCUGGAGCUCAACUCCAGAACUGCCUUUGAUACUGGCGACCUUGAGUCCGGGAGAGGUGAGUGGAACUGCGAGUGUAGAGGUGAAAUUCGUAGAUAUUCGCAAGAACACCAGUGGCGAAGGCGGCUCACUGGACCGGAACUGACGCUGAGGUGCGAAAGCGUGGGGAGCAAACAGG